UCCUUGGUGGUCCAGUGGUUAGGACUCCGUACUUUCACUGCUGUGACCCAGGUUCAGUCCCUGGUCGGGGAG
rnacentral:tRNA from 2 species